rnacentral:misc_RNA from 1 species
GAACAAUCCAUUAACUGUAGCUUACAGCAAAGUGAUAUUAUUAAAUAAUUCCUCUUCAUAAUUUGCCCCUUGUAUUGAUUCCAUAUCCAUACUAUAUAAGUCAAUUGUAAACACUAAACAGAGAAGCGUCUGCUGCACGGCUUGAAUUCAAUUGAUUCACGUGAUAAAAAAUUAUGUCGACGUAACAUUCCGAAACGGUAGAACCCUAGUAUUGUGGAUGCACAGAGACUCGUUUACCCGUUUUCCUGUUUCGCAUAAGGAAUUAAGCUAACAAACAGUGCAAUCAUGGGAAAAUCACCAAGGGUUCUUUCCAUACAAAGUCAUGUGGUAUCGGGAUACGUAGGGAACAAGAGUGCUACAUUUCCUUUGCAGGUUCUUGGAUUCGAAGUCGAUGCCAUUAAUUCUGUACAGUUAUCAAACCAUACUGGUUAUGGAUCUUGUGCGGGACAAGUACUACAUGCUGACGAACUGGCACAGUUGAUGAAGGGUUUGGCGAGCAAUGGGCUUGAUCAUUACUCUCACUUAUUGACUGGAUACUCAGGCUCACCAACAUUCCUUAAAGGCAUAGCUGAUGCUGUCAAACAGCUACGUGCCAAAAAUCCAAAUCUGAUAUAUGUGUGUGAUCCAGUAAUGGGAGACAAUGGACGAAUGUACGUUCCAGAAGAACUGCUUCCUAUUUAUCGUGAUGUAAUUGUGCCAUUGGCUGAUAUCAUCACUCCAAACCAGUAUGAAGUUGAAUUGCUUACAGGUCAGAAGGUGGAAACAAUAGAUGAUGCAUGGCGAGCUGUUGAUAUCUUCCACAACCAAGGAAUAAAAACUGUUGUGCUUUCUUCAACAGAACUUGGAGAUGAAGAACAUUUGUUAGGUCUCGCAAGCUCUGUCAUUGGUAAAGAGAGAAAGAAGUUUAGCAUAAGAAUUCCACGAAUUAAAGGAGUGUUUACUGGAACUGGUGACUUGUUUGCUGCACUGUUUCUUGCUUGGAUGUACCACAGUGAUGGAGACACAAAGUUGGCCCUAGAGAAAACAAUUGCCACUCUUCAAGGUGUCCUCCACCGCACACAUGAAUUUGCAGGAGAUGUGACUGGUUUAUCAAAGCCAAUGAAGGCAGCUGCUGUGGAACUACGUCUUAUUCAAAGCCGUCAAGAUAUUGAAAAGCCAGAGAUCCGUGUUCGGGCCCAGGAACACUAAAUAGCAAUACUGUUAUCAAAUAUUACCAUGAACUGUUGCGCAAAAGAUACUGCAACAGUUUUAUUGCAUUUUAUGUUUUUUUGUAGAUAGAUUAGAGCUGCAUAAGAUGCUUAAAUGUUUAACAUAGCAGACAGUUUUAAUGUUACACAAGCUACAAGAAGAAGUCACAAACAACAAGCACUGGUGUUAAUUCUCCAACUGUGAAUGCAGAAAUACAACGAAUGACACAGAUAUUUCAUUGUAUUGACAAGUGCCAGCACGAAGGUGAAGAACACAAGAGCAGAGAAGCCUGUGAGAUGACAUCAACCAAUAG